UGGGGAAUAUUGGACAAUGGGGGAAACCCUGAUCCAGCAAUGCCGCGUGAGUGAAGAAGGCCUUAGGGUUGUAAAGCUCUUUCGCCCGCGAAGAUAAUGACGGUAGCGGGAGAAGAAGCCCCGGCUAACUCCGUGCCAGCAGCCGCGGUAAUACGUAGGGGGCAAGCGUUGUCCGUAUUUACUGGGUGUAAAGGGCGCGCAGGCGGAAUGGAAAGUCAGUGGUGAAAUCCUACAGCUUAACUGUAGAACUGCCUUUGAUACUUUCAUUCUUGAGUUCGGGAGAGAGAGACGGAAUUCCAGGGGUAGUGGUGAAAUACGUAGAUAUCUGGAAGAACACCAGUUGCGAAGGCGGUCUCUUGGUCCGAGACUGACGCUGAGGCGCGAAAGCGUGG
rnacentral:rRNA from 1 species